CACAAUAAAAUAUGAAGGCUGUACGCGGCUGUGCUCCCGGGCCAGUUUUGCGGAGGCUGAAUUAUUUAUUACCCUUGUCUUUUGCGCACUUGUUGUUUCCUGGGCGGGUUCGCCCGCCACCAGGACCACAUCAUAAACCUUUUUUAUGCAGUUGCAAUCAGCGUCAGUAUAACAAAUGUAAAUCAUUUA
rnacentral:misc_RNA from 1 species